rnacentral:rRNA from 1 species
UGAAGCGGCAACAGCUCAAAUUUGAAAUCUGCCUUCGGGCCGAGUUGUAAUUUGUAGAGGAAGCUUUUGGUGAGGCACCUUCUGAGUCCCCUGGAACGGGGCGCCAUAGAGGGUGAGAGCCCCGUUAUAGUCGGAUGCCGAUCCAAUGUAAAGCUCCUUCGACGGAGUCGAGUAGUUUGGGAAUGCUGCUCAAAAUGGGAGGUAAAUUUCUUCUAAAGCUAAGAUACCGGCCAGAGACCGAUAGCGCACAAGUAGAGUGAUCGAAAGAUGAAAAGCACCUUGAAAACGGGGGUUAAAUAGCACGUGAAAUUGUUGAAAGGGGAAGCGUUUGCGGCCAGACUUGCGCCAGCGCCGAUCAUCCGGUGUUCUCACCGGUGCACUCGGGGCGGCGCAGGCCAGCAUCGGUUUCGGCGGGGGGAUAAAGGUCCGGGGAACGUAGCUCCUUCGGGAGUGUUAUAGCACCGGGCGUAAUGCCCUCGCGGGACCGAGGUUCGCGCAUU